rnacentral:rRNA from 1 species
AGUGAACGCUGGCAGUAGGCCUAACACAUGCAAGUCGAACGGCAGCACAGUAAGAGCUUGCUCUUACGGGUGGCGAGUGGCGGACGGGUGAGGAAUACAUCGGAAUCUACUUUUUCGUGGGGGAUAACGUAGGGAAACUUACGCUAAUACCGCAUACGACCUACGGGUGAAAGCAGGGGAUCUUCGGACCUUGCGCGAUUGAAUGAGCCGAUGUCGGAUUAGCUAGUUGGCGGGGUAAAGGCCCACCAAGGCGACGAUCCGUAGCUGGUCUGAGAGGAUGAUCAGCCACACUGGAACUGAGACACGGUCCAGACUCCUACGGGAGGCAGCAGUGGGGAAUAUUGGACAAUGGGCGCAAGCCUGAUCCAGCCAUACCGCGUGGGUGAAGAAGGCUUUCGGGUUGUAAAGCCCUUUUGUUGGGAAAGAAAAGCAGCAGGUUAAUACCCCGCUGUUCUGACGGUACCCAAAGAAUAAGCACCGGCUAACUUCGUG